rnacentral:rRNA from 1 species
GGCCGCAGUGAAAAGGCCCAGGCGACUGUUUAACAAAAACACAUGGCUUUGCGAAAUCGAAAGAUGAUGUAUAAGGCCUGACACCUGCCCGGUGCUGGAAGGUUAAGAGGAGCUGUGCAAGCAGCGAAUUGAAGCCCCAGUAAACGGCGGCCGUAACAAUAACGGUCCUAAGGUAGCGAAAUUCCUUGUCGGGUAAGUUCCGACCUGCACGAAUGGCGUAACGACUUCCCCACUGUCUCCAACACCAACUCAGCGAAAUUGAAUUCUCCGUGAAGAUGCGGAGUACCCGCGGUCAGACGGAAAGACCCCGUGCACCUU